UACGAAGGUGGCAAGCGUUGUUCGGAUUUACUGGGCGUACAGGGAGCGUAGGCGGUUGGGUAAGCCCUCCGUGAAAUCUCCGGGCCUAACCCGGAAAGUGCGGAGGGGACUGCUCGGCUAGAGGAUGGGAGAGGAGCGCGGAAUUCCCGGUGUAGCGGUGAAAUGCGUAGAGAUCGGGAGGAAGGCCGGUGGCGAAGGCGGGUCUCUGGACAGUUCCUGACGCUGAGGCACGAAGGUCAGGGGAGCAAACGGGGAUUAGAAACCCGUACACAGUCCA
rnacentral:rRNA from 1 species